GGCUGGCCCAAGGGCAAUGGUGUUUAUGACUAACUGAUCACGCCCAAUUACAGAUUUCCUUGAAUCCCACUAUUUCACUUGAAUAGACUUUU
rnacentral:sRNA from 1 species